rnacentral:rRNA from 1 species
AUAGCCUCGGGAAACCGGGAUUAAUACCAAAUGAAAUAACAUAUGCACAUGCAUAAAUGNUAAAAAGCUCCGGCGGUCUAAGAUGGACUCGCGUCCCAUUAGCUAGUUGGUGAGGUAACGGCCAACCAAGGCGACGAUGGGUAGCCGGCCUGAGAGGGUGAACGGCCACAUUGGAACUGAGAUACGGCCCAGACUCCUACGGGAGGCAGCAGCG